UAAAAUUGGAACGAUACAGAGAAGAUUAGCAUGGCCCCUGCGCAAGGAUGACACGCACAAAUCGAGAAAUGGUCCAAAUUUUUUUUCGAGGAUUUUUGCAUCUGUUUCCACCUCUUUCCCUGUUUCCUUUAGCUAAACAACUGAUAAAGAGGCUCAUGGUAGUUUAAAUUCAGAUAGGUCUGGCUUAGUUGAUCUGUUUUCAGUGAUUUGCAGGUGGUCAAUUCUCUGGUCAUGCCAAAAUUUUUUGCUUUCCCUGGAUAUGAAAGGGCAUGGCUGAUCCUAUGCACGAUGCGUUCUUCUACAAACGGAAGCAGUAGCUGCUAUAUAUAAACUCCCACUCUUUGGGUGUUUAAUUUUCCUUGGUAGAAUCUGAAUAUCUGAUAUAGGAAAUGACUUCUCUUAUUAAUCUAAGUACCCUUUCUUUUGGUUGAGAUUGUGCGUGAAUUAGUAUGUUCUUGACUCCUGAGCUGAAUUCUUAUGAAUAGUGCUUAGUUGCUUAUAUUUGCUAGUCAUUGGUGCUUGUCUCCUGUCAUUUUAUGCUAUACAGCACAAGGACGAUUCAAGGAAAUGAUGUAUUAUGGAAACAGAGAAGUGCCCCAAAUUGAUCAUGUCUUCUGCAGCUAAAUCCAUUGUAUCAACGAUUCUUACAAUCAUGGUGAAUCCUCUGAAAUAAAUUUUGCUGCAUAAUGGAACUUUUCUACCUCUUGGGUGUAAGCUGCAGUUGUUUUAGUGCAUCAACGCAUUCAGUUUAUCAGGCUUGAUUAUUAAUCACCCAAGGAGAGGAUGCCAUUGAUUAGUCUGCAUCAAGAGAAAGCAGCCAGACAAAAUUUCCUCAUGGAGAAGGCAAAGUUUCCUCUUUCUUCUUUUGAACAAAGCAUUGUUUAUCAAGUGAGCUAUGUUGGGAUCCAUUAUUUUGCUUCCUGAGAAAGAAUGUGCUGCUGUUCACAUAGAUCAAGGUUGUAUGAUAUGCCUUACAGCAAAUGUUGUCCCAUAGUUAUAGCUUAUACAUGAAGUUUGUUGUUUCUA